AUGAACGCUGGCGGCGUGCCUAAUACCUGCAAGUCGAGCGAACGGACGAGAAGCUUGCUUCUCUGAUGUUAGCGGCGGACGGGUGAGUAACACGUGGAUAACCUACCUAUAAGACUGGGAUAACUUCGGGAAACCGGAGCUAAUACCGGAUGAUAUUUUGAACCGCAUGGUUCAAAAGUGAAAGACGGUCUUGCUGUCACUUAUAGAUGGAUCCGCGCUGCAUUAGCUAGUUGGUAAGGUAACGGCUUACCAAGGCAACGAUGCAUAGCCGACCUGAGAGGGUGAUCGGCCACACUGGAACUGAGACACGGUCCAGACUCCUACGGGAGGCAGCAGUAGGGAAUCUUCCGCAAUGGGCGAAAGCCUGACGGAGCAACGCCGCGUGAGUGAUGAAGGUCUUCGGAUCGUAAAACUCUGUUAUUAGGGAAGAACAUAUGUGUAAGUAACUGUGCACAUCUUGACGGUACCUAAUCAGAAAGCCACGGCUAACUAUGUG
rnacentral:rRNA from 1 species